rnacentral:piRNA from 1 species
AAGAAUGAAUACAAUAGCCUAGUACUC